UACGAAGGGGGCUAGCGUUGCUCGGAAUUACUGGGCGUAAAGAGCGCGUAGGCGGCGCGGUACGACCGCUGUGAAAGCCCCCAGCUCAACUGGGGAGGGUCAGCGGUAACGGCCGUGCUUUGAGUGCAGGAGAGGGAAGUGGAACUCCGGGAGUAGCGGUGAAAUGCGUAGAGACCCGGAGGAACACCAGUGGCGAAGGCGGCUUCCUGGUCUGCGACUGACGCUGUGGCGCGAAAGCUAGGGGAGCAAACGGG
rnacentral:rRNA from 1 species